UCUCCACCAUCCAAUCAAAGGCAUCCAAGUCUUCAAACCAUUGAUAAUGUCACGGUAUCUAUAAAUAACCGCUUCAUCGGGCAAUCGAAGUCUUUUCUUCCGCAGUGGACCUGUGGUCUCCAUCUCGUUCCACCUUUUAACGCGUGUACUUAUACCAGGUAUUACGAGGGACCCACGAAGUCCCCCCUCCUCCAAAUCUAGUGCACCUUGGGGAGAGUUUUUCGUCCUCCUCCUGGGAUCCAGAUAACAGACGCGGACCGGCUGAUAAUCAGGUCCCACGCCCCUGGCCCAAUCAAGCUAGGAAUCCUAACGUCCAUCAAGCACGACUGAUUAUGAGAGUUUGGCCCUGCGCGAUGGGCCCGCUAAACUCUGAACCAAACCCCUAGAACCGCACCUGCGGCUCGUGGAGCCUCUUCGAUCUGCACUGUAUUGCAUCGGACCUAGUCCGCACUCCUCCGGCGGUGGGUUCAGCAAUACUCCUACACUUGCCCUUCGGUGUGGUUUCAGGGAUUGUUCUUUGCAGGAAACUCCUAAUUUGGAAUCAGCCACCCAAAAAAACUUUUUUUUGACCUAUGUUGCCAUACCUCCUCCUUGUUCAUGAUUUAGGCAUUUUGUUUUAUU